rnacentral:rRNA from 1 species
UACGGGGGGGGCAAGCGUUGUUCGGAAUUACUGGGCGUAAAGGGCUCGUAGGCGGCCAACUAAGUCGGAUGUGAAAUCCCCAGGCUUAACCUGGGAACUGCAUCCGAUACUGAGAGUCUCCGAGUCCGGGAGAGGUGAGUGGAACUGCGAGUGUAGAGGUGAAAUUCGUAGAUAUUCGCAAGAACACCAGUGGCGAAGGCGGCUCACUGGCCCGGUACUGACGCUGAGGUGCGAAAGCGUGGGGAGCAAACAGG